GAUGAAGAACGUAGUGAAAUGCGAUACGUAAUGUGAAUUGCAGAAUUCGGUGAAUCAUCGAGUCUUUGAACGCACAUUGCGCCCCCUGGUAUUCCGGGGGGCAUGCCUGUCCGAGCGUCAUUGCUGCCCUCAAGCACGGCUUGUGUGUUGGGCCUCCGUCCUCCUCCCGGGGGACGGGCCCGAAAGGCAGCGGCGGCACCGCGUCCGGUCCUCGAGCGUAUGGGGCUUCGUCACCCGCUCUUGUAGGCCCGGCCGGCGCUUGCCGACACAUCAAUCUUUUUUCCAGGUUGACCUCGGAUCAGGUAGGGAUACCCGCUGAACUUAAGCAUAUCAAUAAGCGGAGGA
rnacentral:misc_RNA from 1 species